AGCAACCUGCCCUGGACUCUGGGAUAAGCGCUGGAAACGGCGUCUAAUACUGGAUAUGAGACGUGAUCGCAUGGUCGUGUUUGGAAAGAUUUUUCGGUCUGGGAUGGGCUCGCGGCCUAUCAGCUUGUUGGUGAGGUAAUGGCUCACCAAGGCGUCGACGGGUAGCCGGCCUGAGAGGGUGACCGGCCACACUGGGACUGAGACACGGCCCAGACUCCUACGGGAGGCAGCAGUGGGGAAUAUUGCACAAUGGGCGGAAGCCUGAUGCAGCAACGCCGCGUGAGGGAUGACGGCCUUCGGGUUGUAAACCUCUUUUAGCAGGGAAGAAGCGAAAGUGACGGUACCUGCAGAAAAAGCGCCGGCUAACUACGUGCCAGCAGCCGCGGUAAUACGUAGGGCGCAAGCGUUAUCCGGAAUUAUUGGGCGUAAAGAGCUCGUAGGCGGUUUGUCGCGUCUGCUGUGAAAUCCCGAGGCUCAACCUCGGGCCUGCAGUGGGUACGGGCAGACUAGAGUGCGGUAGGGGAGAUUGGAAUUCCUGGUGUAGCGGUGGAAUGCGCAGAUAUCAGGAGGAACACCGAUGGCGAAGGCAGAUCUCUGGGCCGUAACUGACGCUGAGGAGCGAAAGGGUGGGGAGCAAACAGGCUUAGAUACCCUGGUAGUCCACCCCGUAAACGUUGGGAACUAGUUGUGGGGACCAUUCCACGGUUUCCGUGACGCAGCUAACGCAUUAAGUUCCCCGCC
rnacentral:rRNA from 1 species